AAAGUACUUACUAUAAUUAUAAUCGUAUUGCAGUUUUGCAAGAUUGAACUAAUAAGUUUAUUCGUUUGUUGAAUUUUUAGUUCAAAGUUUGUGUGAAAAUUCAGAAAAAAAUUUCUAAUUUGUAUUUAGGAAAAUUAAGGGCAAUGAGGUUAUCAUUGACUCAACUUUUCGUGCUGGUUGUUCUGAUUGGAAUAUGUACCGGUGUUCGGGGCCCGUAUUAUAGAAACCAUUCUGAAGCUUGUAAACCCUACGACAAGACGUUCCCAAGUCCCUAUCAUUGUGACGAGGGGUGUCAAGAUCACUGCCAACUGUACAAAUGUAACGGAUGGUGCAAGGCUCAUCCUAGAGGGCAGUGCUGGUGCAUUGAAUCCGGGUACCCUGCAGGUCGACGUAGAUGAUGGAUGGGGGAAUUCUUCCUUGAGUUAUACACGGAUAAGGUUCUAAGAAAUACUCAAAAUUGCUGUACUAAUUUUAUAAUUUCGUAUAAAUGUCCAUAAUCGUGAUUUCAAAAUAAAGUUAUAAUAAAGUACGCACGAUUAGUACUUGAGA